CAAUGUUUUAACUCUUUAUCUUAUUUAAAUAUUUUUGCGAUUAAUAUUUUUAUCGUUACUAGAUGAUAAUAUAUAAACAAUACUUUAUGCGUGACUAAUUUUUUUAAGUUUUUACAAAUUUUCAAAUAAGACGAAUGGUUAAAGCAUUG
rnacentral:pre_miRNA from 1 species